rnacentral:rRNA from 1 species
AAAUUGAAGAGUUUGAUCAUGGCUCAGAUUGAACGCUGGCGGCAGGCCUAACACAUGCAAGUCGAGCGGAAACGAGUUAUCUGAACCUUCGGGGGACGAUAACGGCGUCGAGCGGCGGACGGGUGAGUAAUGCCUAGGAAAUUGCCCUGAUGUGGGGGAUAACCAUUGGAAACGAUGGCUAAUACCGCAUAAUGCCUACGGGCCAAAGAGGGGGACCUUCGGGCCUCUCGCGUCAGGAUAUGCCUAGGUGGGAUUAGCUAGUUGGUGAGGUAAUGGCUCACCAAGGCGACGAUCCCUAGCUGGUCUGAGAGGAUGAUCAGCCACACUGGAACUGAGACACGGUCCAGACUCCUACGGGAGGCAGCAGUGGGGAAUAUUGCACAAUGGGCGCAAGCCUGAUGCAGCCAUGCCGCGUGUGUGAAGAAGGCCUUCGGGUUGUAAAGCACUUUCAGUCGUGAGGAAGGUAGUGUAGUUAAUAGCUGCAUUAUUUGACGUUAGCGACAGAAGAAGCACCGGCUAACUCCGUGCCAGCAGCCGCGGUAAUACGGAGGGUGCGAGCG